rnacentral:tRNA from 1 species
GCCUGGGUGGCUCAGUUGGGUAAGCAUCUGACUUCAGCUCAGGUCAUGAUCUCAUGGUUUGUGAGUUCGAGCCCCGCGUCAGGCU